rnacentral:rRNA from 1 species
GACGAACGCUGGCGGCAGGCUUAACACAUGCAAGUCGCACGAGAACGUUCUGGCUUUGCCAGGACAAGUACAGUGGCGGACGGGUGCGUAUCGCGUAGAUAACCUGCCCUUAGGCGCGGGACAAUCACGGGAAACCGUGGCUAAUACCGCACGUCGUCUGGGCCCCGCAUGGGGACCAGAUGAAAGCUUGGGGUUACCCAGGCGCCUUGGGAUGGGUCUGCGUUGGAUUAGCUUGUUGGUGAGGCAACGGCUCACCAAGGCGACGAUCCAUAGCUGGUCUGAGAGGACGAUCAGCCACACUGGGACUGAGACACGGCCCAGG